UACGAAGGGUGCAAGCGUUACUCGGAAUUACUGGGCGUAAAGCGUGCGUAGGUGGUGAGUUAAGUCUGAUGUGAAAUCCCCGGGCUCAACCUGGGAAUGGCAUUGGAUACUGGCUUGCUGGAGUGCGGUAGAGGAUGGUGGAAUUCCCGGUGUAGCAGUGAAAUGCGUAGAGAUCGGGAGGAACAUCGGUGGCGAAGGCGGCCAUCUGGACCAGCACUGACACUGAGGCACGAAAGCGUGGGGAG
rnacentral:rRNA from 1 species